AGUGAUGCUAUUUUUCAAAAUUGCAAAACAAUUGCUGGGUGGGCAAAUUAUAUUACAAACGAAAAAAAGCCGCAACUAAAAUUAAUAAAAAUGUUUUAAUUUUCAUGGAUAAACACACACAAUCACACCUGCCGUAAGCUAAUUUAUUUCAAAACACAAAGAGGCAAUCCACAUACAAAAACAAACAUAUGGUUAGAGGAAGUGCAGAAAUUUUUGAUGGAAAUUGUUGUUGGGUUUUUUAAGUUGUUUGUUUUUCUUUUUUGGGGAGUUUAAAAGAAUUUGAAGGAAAAGAUAUGACAAAAACAAAAACAGAUGUUUAAAGCCAAGUUUGGGGUGAUAGUUGGCCAAAAAAAAAAAUACUAAAAUAAAACCCUAAAACAAGAGCAAACAAUACAACAACAAUGUUGGUUGUUUGGGAGAAUAUGAAAACACAAUAACAGCGACUGGCCACAAACUUUUUGGGUAUAAAAGCUGCUGCAGCUGUUUGCUAUUUUUCUCAUGUGUCUUGUUUACGUCAUAAUAAAAGGACGAAAAAACGUUUUUUGCUGUCAUUUGUAAGCAACGUAUUCUUGUGAGGGUUGCCAGGUAAAUCAUUUCUUUAAAAGCAUAAACUUGUUGCAAAUAUGGGAUUGGAAAAUGUA